rnacentral:tRNA from 1 species
GGAGGUAUAACUCAGUGAUACAGUGUGUGCUUAGCAUGCAUGAGGUCCUGGGUUCAAUCUCCAGUGCCUCCA